CAGCAGUUACCCUGCUGGAACACCUGCUCGGGGAGGACAUCAGAAGAACCUCAACGUCCAUCAGUGGGGUAAGAAGCCAGGUGUGGUUCCCGUGUCUGCUCUCCGCAGCCCUCCUGGGAGGGUUUGAAGAGACAGCUGAGAGCGGCCAGCUGGGAAGAGCACGCUUGCCUUGUCAGCGGAGAGUAGGUUCUGAGCUCUGCUGAGUCAGCGUGGCCAGGCAGGGCUGGGGGGCCUCAGGGCUCCAGGCCCCACCUCUUACCUCUACAGUCUCCCACCCCGGCUGCCUGCCCCAGCCGGUCAAAAUGCCAGGUAACCCCCGGUGGAGAUAGGCACCUGUGAGAAGUAUCACUGCUUCGUGGGUCAGGGGCUUGGACCCACCAGGGCUGUGUCACCUGCGGACCAUGUGAACUCAAGUGCGGUCUUCGCUAAGAGGCCAAGCAAGAUGAUGUAAUCACCUGAUGAGUUCCUCCUGCCCACUGCACAGACAAAACCAAUUCACUGAGACGACGGCAUUGCAAUAAAGAAAGAGCUUAAUUGACACAAGGUUGGCCACUCCUGUCUCAAAUCAAAUCAAUCUGAAAAUUUGGAGGCUAGGGUUUUUAAAGGAUACUUUGGUGGGCAGGGGGCUGGGGAAUGGGGGCUGCUGAUUGGUUGGGGAUGCAAUCACAGGGUUGUGGAAAUUGGUCCUUGUGCACCAAGUCCACUUCUGGGCGGGCUCCCCAGGACCGGCUGAGCCAAGAGUUGAAGGUCUGGGUGGGGCCAUCCGGUCAUCAGAAAUGCAGGUAAAGACAUCUCAAAAGGCCAAUCUUAGGUUCCACAAUAGUGAAUUGGGACAGUUGCAAAUCUUGUAUCCUCUGGAAUAAUGGCUGGUUGUCAUUUAACUAUGCCUGCGUCUUAGCGAAAUUUAGGCCCCUCUCAUCCUCCUAACCUGGUGGCCUUUCUUUUCUUUUCAUUUUUUUUUAAGAAACAGGUUCUUACUCUGUCCCCCAGGCAGGAAUGCAGUGGUGUGAUCGUGGCUCACUGCAGCUUAAAACUCCUGGGCUCAAGUGAUCCUCCCACUU
rnacentral:lncRNA from 1 species